UUAGUUAGUUGGUAGGGUAAAGGCCUACCAAGACGAUGAUGUUUAGCGGGGCCAAGAGGCUGUACCGCCACACUGGGAUUGAGAUACGGCCCAGACUCCUACGGGAGGCAGCAGUAAGGAAUAUUCCACAAUGAGCGAAAGCUUGAUGGAGCGACACAGAGUGCAGGAUGAAGUCUUUAGGGAUGUAAACUGCUGUUGUAAGGGAAGAAAAAACUAGAUAGGAAAUGAUUUAGUCUUGACGGUACCUUAUUAGAAAGUGACGGCAAACUAUGUGCCAGCAGCCGCGGUAAUACAUAGGUCGCAAGCGUUAUCCGGAAUUAUUGGGCGUAAAGCGUCCGCAGGUUUUUUGUUAAGUUUAAGGUUAAAUGCUAAAGCUCAACUUUAGUUCGCUUUAGAUACUGACAAAAUAGAAUUAUGAAGAGGUUAGCGGAAUUCCUAGUGGAGCGGUGGAAUGCGUAGAUAUUAGGAAGAACACCAAUAGGCGAAGGCAGCUAACUGGUCAUAUAUUGACACUAAUGGACGAAAGCGUGGGGAGCAAACAGGAUUAGAUACCCUGGUAGUCCACGCCGUAAACGAUGAUCAUUAGUUGGUGGCAAAAGUCACUAGCACAGCUAACGCGUUAAAUGAUCCGCCUGAGUAGUAUGCUCGCAAGAGUGAAACUUAAAGGAAUUGACGGGAACCCGCACAAGCGGUGGAGCAUGUGGUUUAAUUUGAUGAUACGCGUAGAACCUUACCCACUCUUGACAUCCUCGCAAAACUAUAGAGAUAUAGCGGA
rnacentral:rRNA from 2 species